GUAUAAGAGACAGCAGUAGCCACGGGAAUACAGAGGGUGCAAGCGUUAAUCGGAAUUACUGGGCGUAAAGCGCGCGUAGGUGGUUUGUUAAGUUGGAUGUGAAAUCCCCGGGCUCAACCUGGGAACUGCAUCCAAAACUGGCAAGCUAGAGUAUGGUAGAGGGUGGUGGAAUUUCCUGUGUAGCGGUGAAAUGCGUAGAUAUAGGAAGGAACACCAGUGGCGAAGGCGACCACCUGGACUGAUACUGACACUGAGGUGCGAAAGCGUGGGGAGCAAACAGGAUUAGAUACCCCUGUAGUCCCUGUCUCUUAUAC
rnacentral:rRNA from 1 species